AGCAGUAGCCGCGGGAAUACGGAGGGUGCAAGCGUUAAUCGGAAUUACUGGGCGUAAAGCGCACGCAGGCGGUCUGACAAGUCAGAUGUGAAAUCCCCGGGCUUAACCUGGGAACUGCAUUUGAAACUGUCAGGCUGGAGUCUUGUAGAGGGGGGUGGAAUUCCAGGUGUAGCGGUGAAAUGCGUAGAGAUCUGGAGGAAUACCGGUGGCGAAGGCGGCCCCCUGGACAAAGACUGACGCUCAGGUGCGAAAGCGUGGGGAGCUAACAGGAUUAGAUACCCCUGUAGUCCCUGUCUCUUAUAC
rnacentral:rRNA from 1 species